GACGAACGCUGGCGGCGUGCCUAAUACAUGCAAGUAGGACGCAGUUGCGAACGGGUGAGUAACGCGUAGGUAACUGCCUAUUAGAGGGGGAUAACUAUUGGAAACGAUAGCUAAUACCGCAUACUAGUAGAUGGACCUGCGUUGUAUUAGCUAGUAGGUCGGGUAAUGGCCUACCUAGGCAACGUUUCAUAGCCUACCUGAGUGGGUGAUCGGCCACACUGGGACUGAGACACGGCCCAGACGCCUACGGGAGGCAGCAGUAGGGAAUCUUCGGCAAUGGGGGGAAACCUGACCGAGCAACGCCGCGUGAGUUGAGGAGGUUUUCGGAUCGUAAAGCUCUGUUGUUAAGGAAGCGGUACUUAACCAGGAAGGGACGGCUAACUACGUGCCAGCAGCCGCGGUAAUUC
rnacentral:rRNA from 1 species